GAUGAACGCUGGCGGCGUGCCUAAUACAUGCAAGUCGAGCGAACAGACGAGGAGCUUGCUCCUUUGACGUUAGCGGCGGACGGGUGAGUAACACGUAGGUAACCUACCUAUAAGACUGGGAUAACUUCGGGAAACCGGAGCUAAUACCGGAUAAUAUUUCGAACCGCAUGGUUCGAUAGUGAAAGAUGGCUUUGCUAUCACUUAUAGAUGGACCUGCGCCGUAUUAGCUAGUUGGUAAGGUAACGGCUUACCAAGGCAACGAUACGUAGCCGACCUGAGAGGGUGAUCGGCCACACUGGAACUGAGACACGGUCCAGACUCCUACGGGAGGCAGCAGUAGGGAAUCUUCCGCAAUGGGCGAAAGCCUGACGGAGCAACGCCGCGUGAGUGAUGAAGGUCUUCGGAUCGUAAAACUCUGUUAUUAGGGAAGAACAAACGUGUAAGUAACUGUGCACGUCUGGACGGUACCUAAUCAGAAAGCCACGGCGAACUACGU
rnacentral:rRNA from 1 species